rnacentral:rRNA from 1 species
CAGUCGCCGCGGUAAAACGUAGGUGGCAAGCGUUGUCCGGAAUUAUUGGGCGUAAAGGGCUCGCAGGCGGUUUCUUAAGUCUGAAGUGAAAGCCCCCGGCUCAACCGGGGAGGGUCAUUGGAAACUGGGAAACUUGAGUGCAGAAGAGGAGAGUGGAAUUCCACGUGUAGCGGUGAAAUGCGUAGAGAUGUGGAGGAACACCAGUGGCGAAGGCGACUCUCUGGUCUGUAACUGACGCUGAGGAGCGAAAGCGUGGGGAGCGAACAGGAUUAGAUACCCCGGUAGUCCCUGUCUCUUAUAC